AUAUUGGUGGUCCAGUGGUAGAAUUCUAGACUUUCAUGCUGGUGGACCUGGGUUCAGUUCCUGGCUAAUGCA
rnacentral:tRNA from 1 species